rnacentral:rRNA from 1 species
CCUACGGGAGGCAGCAGUAGGGAAUCUUGCGCAAUGGACGAAAGUCUGACGCAGCGACGCCGCGUGAGCGAUGAAGGCCUUCGGGUUGUAAAGCUCUGUGGGGAGAGACGAAUAAGGUGUAGCUAAUACCUGCAUCGAUGACGGUAUCUCCUUAGCAAGCACCGGCUAACUCUGUGCCAGCAGCCGCGGUAAGACAGAGGGUGCAAACGUUGUUCGGAAUUACUGGGCGUAAAGCGCGCGUAGGCAGCAGCGUGUGUCGGGCGUGAAAUCCCACGGCUCAACCGUGGAAGUGCACUCGAAACUGCGCAGCUAGAGUCUCGGAGAGGAAGGCGGAAUGCUUGGUGUAGAGGUGAAAUUCGUAGAUAUCAAGCGGAACACCGGUGGCGAAGGCGGCCUUCUGGACGAUGACUGACGCUGAAGUGCGAAAGCGUGGGGAGCAA